GAAUAUGGGAUACAUGUGUAUAGACACAACAGAUCUAUUGGAACAAUACGAGGAUAUAAACAGGAAACAACAUUUUGGCAAGAUAACUGAGAAAGUCAAAGAUUUAAGCAAACAGUCACUCGGCACGGGUCCGUGUUCAAGGAGCAUGGGACUUAUGCAUUUUUCCAGGAAACUGGAACACUAGGAAACCCAAUGUUAUCUUUGUCUCAUGAUUAUUUUUAUUUCUAAUUUUACUAUAUGGGGGUUAUUAUUUAUAACUUUGAUUUUAAUUUUACAAUAAUUAUUUUAAAAAAAGCUUAAAAUGAUUAUUUUAAUACGCUAGAAUAAAAGCUCACAAUGACUCUAUAGAUGGCUAUUCUAGGUAAGAAUCCAGAAACGCUCAAGAUACAAUCUAGGGAUUAUAGGCCUAAUAUUAAAAGAUAGUUAUUAGCUGAAGGGUUUUGUUUUGAGAUGUUGGAUGGGCCAAUCUGCCGAACAUUCAGAGAUGAUUUCAAGAAAGUUAUACUGGAGGUGGAAGUCUUAAGCUUCCAAAAUUCCAGAAGAAAUUCUGCGGCGAAGCUUUCUUUGGAACGUCUUCAAUCAUAACA